GAUGAACGCUGGCGGCGUGCCUAAUACAUGCAAGUCGAGCGAACAGACGAGGAGCUUGCUCCUCUGACGUUAGCGGCGGACGGGUGAGUAACACGUGGAUAACCUACCUAUAAGACUGGGAUAACUUCGGGAAACCGGAGCUAAUACCGGAUAAUAUAUUGAACCGCAUGGUUCAAUAGUGAAAGACGGUUUUGCUGUCACUUAUAGAUGGAUCCGCGCCGCAUUAGCUAGUUGGUAAGGUAACGGCUUACCAAGGCAACGAUGCGUAGCCGACCUGAGAGCGUGAUCGGCCACCCUGGAACUGAGACACGGUCCAGACUCCUACGGGAGGCAGCAGUAGGGAAUCUUCCGCAAUGGGCGAAAGCCUGAUGGAGCAACGCCGCGUGAAUGAUGAAGGUCUUCGGAUCGUAAAGCUCUGUUAUUAGGGAAGAACAAAUGUGUAAGUAACUAUGCACGUAUUGACGGUACCGAAUCAGAAAGCCACGGCUAACUACGUG
rnacentral:rRNA from 1 species